GGAUGGAGGUUCAGCCUGGAGGGACAUGCAGAGGGUGACAGAAAGGAAAAGUGGGACUCAAGCCUCAAGGAGGGGGGUGCCUCUGGGGCCAUCUGCUACCCAAACCACCCUGGAAUGCAACAGCUGCAACCCUAAGCCUGACUGCUCGGUGCCUCCCCUGCAGCCGCAGAGCCAGGAGGGGAUGUGAUGCCCUCUGACCAUACACUGUGGCCUCUCUUCCAGGUCACCAGCAGCAACCUCCCACCAUCCAAGCAACGCCAUGGUCCAAUUACUUGAAAUAAGAAGCCACUGGGAACACUAGCUCUUUCUCCCCCUGUAGCAGAGGAGGGGGUUUGUUCCAGCUGAAACAA